UGGCCAGACUCCUACGGGAGGCAGCAGUGGGGAAUAUUGCACAAUGGGGGAAACCCUGAUGCAGCGACGCCGCGUGAGUGAAGAAGUAAUUCGUUAUGUAAAGCUCUAUCAGCAGGGAAGAAAAUGACGGUACCUGAGUAAGAAGCCCCGGCUAACUACGUGCCAGCAGCCGCGGUAAUACGUAGGGGGCAAGCGUUAUCCGGAUUUACUGGGUGUAAAGGGGGCGCAGACGGCAAUGCAAGCCAGGAGUGAAAGCCCGGGGCCCAACCCCGGGACUGCUCUUGGAACUGCAUGGCUGGAGUACAGGAGGGGCAGGCGGAAUUCCUAGUGUAGCGGUGAAGUGCGUAGAUAUUAGGAGGAACACCGGUGGCGAAGGCGGCCUGCUGGACUGUGACUGACGUUGAGGCCCGAAGGCGUGGGGGGCAAACAGGAUUAGAUACCCGUGUA
rnacentral:rRNA from 1 species